GUGGGUAACCUGCCUGUAAGACUGGGAUAACUCCGGGAAACCGGGGCUAAUACCGGAUGGUUGUUUGAACCGCAUGGUUCAAACAUAAAAGGUGGCUUCGGCUACCACUUACAGAUGGACCCGCGGCGCAUUAGCUAGUUGGUGAGGUAACGGCUCACCAAGGCGACGAUGCGUAGCCGACCUGAGAGGGUGAUCGGCCACACUGGGACUGAGACACGGCCCAGACUCCUACGGGAGGCAGCAGUAGGGAAUCUUCCGCAAUGGACGAAAGUCUGACGGAGCAACGCCGCGUGAGUGAUGAAGGUUUUCGGAUCGUAAAGCUCUGUUGUUAGGGAAGAACAAGUACCGUUCGAAUAGGGCGGUACCUUGACGGUACCUAACCAGAAAGCCACGGCUAACUACGUGCCAGCAGCCGCGGUAAUACGUAGGUGGCAAGCGUUGUC
rnacentral:rRNA from 1 species